UCUAUAAUUUAGAUAUCUAUAAUAUAGAAAUACUCAUUGAACAGAGGUUAAAGCUUAAACUAACAGCAGUUGUAAUAUCUUUGCAGCGUAAUUCUACCCCAGAACAUUUUAGACUUGAAUUUGCUCAUGACACUGAAUUUAAUUGACAAUGCACAGUCUAAUAAAUAUGAUUCUGAUGCUAAAUUUCUUGAUCUUAUUGUUAUGUUUUGGAGCAGGUGAGGUGGGGUGGCAGAAGCCAGGAUGGUGCAGGAAACACUGUUGGCGAGGAGGUGGAACAACACCAUUACAACACCAUCGCUGCCUGUGAGGAGAACGUUGACGUAGAAGCAGCAUGCAGUCUCUCUGAGGAUGUAAUUCUGCCUUGGGAAGCGCAAGGAGAUGUGGUGAGCCUCCGCUUGAAGAGGCGACUCUUUGAUCAGGUCAUGCUCGUCAGGCGUCUGGAAGAGGAGAAACUGAUCAUUGUGAAGGAGAUGACCCAGCAUUGUCAGUCUCUAAAAAAGGCGUUGAACAAACUGGACAACCUCCAUUCAUAAGACGAAAGAGGACAUCAAGAACCAUACUUCUUCCAGAGAGCUGACCGAAGAGGGAUACAGGGGACUGCACUGCUGUCUUCUGCAAAAGCAGUACAUUCUCCAGCAGAAACUGAGCACUGUCACUACCACCUACACCUACACACUUGACACAGACCCCUCUAUUUUCACGUU
rnacentral:lncRNA from 1 species